GUAAUGGACGUCCUGGAUCAUCUGAAGCCCCACACUUGCUGGGGUGGAUAGAGUGGCGAACGGGUGAGUAACACGUGAGUAACCUUCCCUUGACUCUGGGAUAAGCCUGGGAAACCGGGUCUAAUACCGGAUGCGACCUUUCACCGCAUGGUGGGGGGUGGAAAGAUUUAUCGGUCUUGGAUGGACUCGCGGCCUAUCAGCUUGUUGGUGGGGUAAUGGCCCACCAAGGCGACGACGGGUAGCCGGCCUGAGAGGGUGACCGGCCACACUGGGACUGAGACACGGCCCAGACUCCUACGGGAGGCAGCAGUGGGGAAUAUUGCACAAUGGGCGCAAGCCUGAUGCAGCGACGCCGCGUGAGGGAUGACGGCCUUCGGGUUGUAAACCUCUUUCAGUAGGGAAGAAGCGAAAGUGACGGUACCUGCAGAAGAAGCGCCGGCUAACUACGUGCCAGCAGCCGCGGUAAUACGUAGGGCGCGAGCGUUAUCCGGAAUUAUUGGGCGUAAAGAGCUCGUAGGCGGUUUGUCGCGUCUGCCGUGAAAGUCCGGGGCUUAACCCCGGAUCUGCGGUGGGUACGGGCAGACUGGAGUGCAGUAGGGGAGACUGGAAUUCCUGGUGUAGCGGUGAAAUGCGCAGAUAUCAGGAGGAACACCGAUGGCGAAGGCAGGUCUCUGGGCUGUUACUGACCCUGAGGAGCGAAAGCAUGGGGAGCGAACAGGAUUAGAUACCCUGGUAGUCCAUGCCGUAAACGUUGGGCACUAGGUGUGGGGGCCAUUCCACGGUUUCCGCGCCGCAGCUAACGCAUUAAGUGGCCCCCCCUGGGGAAUACAGCCGCAAGGCUAAAACUCAAAGAAAUUGAGGAGGGACCCCCAAAAUCGCGGUAGGAGGCGAAAUUAAUUCAAUGCAGCCCCUAAGAACCUUACCAAAGUCUGGAAAA
rnacentral:rRNA from 1 species